UGAGCUUUUUAACCUUCCUAGCGCCACGAGUUGAUUGUAAAGUCUACAUAUAAUCGACCCUGGCACUGGGAAUUUUAAAGGUCU
rfam:Branchiostoma floridae genomic scaffold BRAFLscaffold_1, whole genome shotgun sequence.